GUCCGAAGGCCGCAGUACUUGACCCUGUAUUUUGGGAGUCGAACGGAGACUCUGCCAUCGUCCUCAAAGAGUAAAAAAUCCAGUUACGGAAGGGAACUAACACUUGCUAGAUAUGGUGUGCAGAGUGCGUUUGCAAAGAAACUUAAGAGAAAACAAAUGAUAGGACACAGGGUGGUGGAAGAUCUCAAAGAGUAAGAUGCCAUUUAACCUGGGCCUUGAAAAUUUAAUAAGGAAAUUUAGACGAGAAGAUUCAGACAAAGCAGAACACACAGGCCACUACGUGUUGAGGGACUUGAGUUGUAAGCAGUGACCAGAACAAUGAUUCUUAACCUGUUGUGGCACACUUCUUUUGAAAACUUAAUUAUAUGGAUUAGCUUCUCAGGAAAACGUGCAUGUACCUAUUAAAACAUUUUGCGAGGCUGGG
rnacentral:lncRNA from 10 species